rnacentral:rRNA from 1 species
GGGAGGUAGUGACAAUAAAUAACAAUACCGGGCUCAUUGAGUCUGGUAAUUGGAAUGAGUACAAUUUAAAUCUCUUAACGAGGAACAAUUGGAGGGCAAGUCUGGUGCCAGCAGCCGCGGUAAUUCCAGCUCCAAUAGCGUAUAUUAAAGUUGUUGCAGUUAAAAAGCUCGUAGUUGAAUUUCGGGAUCAAUAUGUUGGUCGUGCCUUGGUACGUACUAAUUUAUUGGUUUCUUCCUUCUGACGAACCUUGAUGUCAUUAAUUUGGUGUCUUGGGGAAUCAGGACUGUUACUUUGAAAAAUUAGAGUGUUAAAAGCAGGCUCACGCUUGAAUACAUUAGCAUGGAAUAAUGAAAUAGGACGUUUGAUUCUAUUUUGUUGGUUUCUAGGAUCGACGUAAUGAUUAAUAGGGAUAGUUGGG